rnacentral:rRNA from 1 species
CCUACGGGAGGCAGCAGUGAGGAAUAUUGGUCAAUGGCCGGAAGGCUGAACCAGCCAUGCCGCGUGAAGGUCAGUGCCCUAUGGGCGUUAAACUUUUUUUUUUCGGGAGCAAUAAUGGUCACGUGUGGCCAGACGAGAGUACCGUACGAAUAAGCAUCGGCGUACUUCGUGCCAGCAGACGCGGUAAUACGGGGGAUGCAAGCGUUAUCCGGAUUUUUUGGGUUUAAAGGGUGCGUAGGCUGUGAGGUAAGUCAGCGGUGAAAUGCCCCCGGCCAACGGGGUGAAGUGCCAUUGAUACUGCCUUGCUGGAAUGCGGAUGCCGUGGGAGGAAUGUGUGGUGUAGCGGUGAAAUGCAUAGAUAUCACACAGAACACCGAUUGCGAAGGCAUCUUACGAAUCCGCGAUUGACGCUGAUGCACGAAAGCGUGGGUAUCAAACAGGAUUAGAUACCCGAGUAGUC